AACGAACGCUGGCGGCAUGCCUAACACAUGCAAGUCGAACGAGACCUUCGGGUCUAGUGGCGCACGGGUGCGUAACGCGUGGGAACCUGCCCUUAGGUUCGGAAUAACUCCCCGAAAGGGGUGCUAAUACCGGAUAAUGUCUUCGGACCAAAGAUUUAUCGCCUUUGGAUGGGCCCGCGUUGGAUUAGCUAGUUGGUAGGGUAAAAGCCUACCAAGGCGACGAUCCAUAGCUGGUCUGAGAGGAUGAUCAGCCACACUGGGACUGAGACACGGCCCAGACUCCUGCGGGAGGCAGCAGGGGGGAAAAUGGGACAAGGGGCGAAAGCCUGAUCCAGCAAUGCCGGGGGAGUGGUGAAGGCCUUAGGGUUGUAAACCUCUUUUACCCGGGAUGAUAAGAACAGUACCGGGAAAAAAAGCCCCGGUAAACUCCGU
rnacentral:rRNA from 1 species